rnacentral:rRNA from 1 species
UGAGGAAUAUUGGUCAAUGGACGAGAGUCUGAACCAGCCAAGUAGCGUGCAGGAUGACGGCCCUAUGGGUUGUAAACUGCUUUUGUUUGGGAAUAAUCGACAUUACGUGUAAUGUUUUGCAUGUACCAUUCGAAUAAGGACCGGCUAAUUCCGUGCCAGCAGCCGCGGUAAUACGGAAGGUUCGGGCGUUAUCCGGAUUUAUUGGGUUUAAAGGGAGCGUAGGCCGUUUGGUAAGCGUGUUGUGAAAUGUAGGAGCUCAACUUCUAGAUUGCAGCGCGAACUGUCAGACUUGAGUGCGCACAACGUAGGCGGAAUUCAUGGUGUAGCGGGGAAAUGCUUAGAUAUCAUGAAGAACUCCGAUUGCGAAGGCAGCUUACGGGAGCGCAACUGACGCUGAAGCUCGAAGGUGCGGGUAUCGAACAGG